AACGAACGCUGGCGGCGUGCCUAACACAUGCAAGUCGAACGUGAUUAGAGAGCUUGCUCUCUAUGAAAGUGGCGCACGGGUGAGUAACGCGUAGAUAAUCUACCUGAUGAUUCGGGAUAACACUUCGAAAGGGGUGCUAAUACCGGAUAAGCCCACGGAGUCCUUGGACUCUGCGGGAAAAGGGGGGGAUCGCAAGACCUUCCGUCAUCAGAUGAGUCUGCGUACCAUUAGCUAGUUGGUAGGGUAAAGGCCUACCAAGGCGACGAUGGUUAGCUGGUCUGAGCGGAUGAACAGCAACACUGGAACGGGGACACGGUCCAGACUCGUACGGGAGGCGGCAGUGGGGAAUUUUGCGCAAUGGGGGAAACCCGGACGCAGCAACGCCGCGGGAGUGAUGAAGGCCCUUGGGUCGUAAAGCUCUGACAGAGGGAAAGAAAUGCAGGGGAGCUAAUAUCUCUUUUGCUUGACGGUACCCUCAAAGGAAGCACCGGCUAACUCCGUGCCAGCAGCCGCCGUAACAC
rnacentral:rRNA from 1 species